AGUGAACGCUGGCGGUAGGCCUAACACAUGCAAGUCGAACGGCAGCACAGUAAGAGCUUGCUCUUACGGGUGGCGAGUGGCGGACGGGUGAGGAAUACAUCGGAAUCUACUUUUUCGUGGGGGAUAACGUAGGGAAACUUACGCUAAUACCGCAUACGACCUACGGGUGAAAGCAUGGGAUCUUCGGACCUUUCGCGAUUGAAUGAGCCGAUUUCGGAUUAGCUGGUUGGGGGGGUAAAGGCCCACCAUGGCGACGAUCCGUAGCUGGUCUGAGUGGAUGGUCAGCGACAUUGGAACUGGGACACGGUCCAGACUCCUACGGGAGGCAGCAGUGGGGAAUAUUGGACAAUGGGCGCAAGCCUGAUCCAGCCAUACCGCGUGGGUGAAGAAGGCCUUCGGGUUGUAAAGCCCUUUUGUUGGGAAAGAAAAGCAGCAGGUUAAUACCCAGCUGGUGUGACGGUACCCAAAGAAUAAGCACCGGCUAACUUCGUG
rnacentral:rRNA from 1 species